UGUUGCGGUUAAAAAGCUCGUAGUUGGAUUUCUGUUGAAAGUGAUCGGUCCCCUCUCUGAGGGCGUAUCUGACUCGCUUUUGGCAUCCUCUUGUGGCACGUUUCUGUCCUUCACUGGAUGGAGCGGGACGCAAGACUUUUACUUUGAGGAAAUUCGAGUGUUUACGGCAGGCAAUCGCCCUGAAGAUAUUAGCAUGGAAUAAUAAUAUAGGACCUUGGUUCUAUUUUGUUGGUUUCUAGAGCUGAGGUAAUGAUUAAUAGGGAUAUUUGGGGGCAUUCGUACUAACCGGUCAGAGGUGGAAUUCUUGGAUUCGGUUAUGACGAGCGACUGCGAAAGCAUUUGUCAAGAAUGUUUUCAUUGAUCAAGAACGAAAGUGUGGGGAUCGAAGAUGAUUAGAUACCGUCGUAGUCUACACCAUAAACUAUGCCAACUAGGGAUCAGGGGUUGUCUUCUUGUAACUCCCUUGGCACCUUACGAGAAAUCAAAGUUUU
rnacentral:rRNA from 1 species